rnacentral:lncRNA from 1 species
AGAGCUGCUGCCAACCUGGUCAUAGGUCCCCAAAUGUACCUCCCUUGAGGGGGAAGGAAGGUGAAUCAUAUCCAGGCAGGAUCCUGGCUCAGUCAAUACCCACACACCAACUUUGCAAAGCCAAGAUUUCGGCACCAACGCCAGCUGGACACAUGUGUGCCACCAGCCCCGCUCUGGGACGGCGCUGCAGCCGUGUGCCAGCCCCUGAGCCACGCAGCAGCAGGAUCCAGACCUCCAGGUUCAUCCCUGGACCCCCAUCACGGAGCUGGUGGAGUGAGGGAUGCCUGCAGGCACCAGGAGGGGAGCGGGGUGAGGCACGAGCACGCCGAGGGCUUUCACACGCCUUCACCCACAGCAGUCGGCGCGCCUUCGUCACUCCGGGCCCAGCCAAGGAGGGAUACAAAGUUCAGCUGCACAGAACAGCAUCCCUGCACCGAGCAGCUCAGAGCACAGAGAUGAAGAUUUUGGCCCAAAAGACAGAGCCCUGUGUGCAGCUUCACUGUCCAGCCACUCCAGACCUGCUGGCUCUGAGGAGCCCACACGGGCAACGCCAAAUGGGCAAAAGAAGAUGUAAGCACGGAAGAUUUGUCAAAGAAAACAUUUUUAAAAAUAUCAUAUAUCCCACAGCUGUCCAAAGUAAUAGCUCAGCUGCUAAAAAGGUGGAAUUAAAUAGGUCAAGCUGUGGAGAUGUGCCACUCUCUGCCAGCUAAAGGAAUGAACUUCUCAUCUGUUAGACUGUUUCAUCUUUUGCUGUUCCAAGAAUCCAUCUCUCUGCUAGUAAUGAUGUCAAAUAAAUCUCCACUAAAAUGUAAAAAUGUUUAUGAU